AUACGAUUUUCGAGGAUUUUGUUUCAUUGCGUAAGGAGCCAAUCUUUUAUGACGAAUAAAUUAGUGCAGUGUUUUCCUCACAGUUUCAAAGGCCUCGCCGAUAGUAUACUUGCAAAACAAAAUUUGAUUAAUAUUAAUAACAUUAAUUAUAUUUGCGCAAACUUCUACGCAAUUCAAAAUCUUCCAUCAUUUCCUCUCCAUUGCACAAAAGGAACAUCUCGCCGCGUCUCUACUCAAUAGGAACUGCAGUGAGCUAGUAUUGACAUUUAGAAAAUGAAUGCGGUACGGACCUGCACAACAUAAUUUUAAUAUUGGUAGCACCCUUAGUUCAGUUUGGAUUUGAUCGCGAGUGGUCAUGUAGAAACAUAAUUGUUUAUAAUUAUAUAUUUACAUUUUCUAUAUAUGUAUGUACAUAUGUAUAUUUUUCGUCAAUUUAUUAUUAUGAUAAUUUUUUGUGCACGAAAAUAGCUAAACAUGAAGUGCACUUACCACGUAAUGAGCGUGUAUAUUGUGUGCGUUAUUUUAACAAAACCAUCAGGGGAAUGGUCCUAGGAUUAAAAAUUAAUUUUCUCUCAUUGUAUUCUAAUCAAAAGUUUCAACGAAACGAACCGUUUUCUACCAAUUCAACAUCAAAGUACGGGGUUUCUGUCUCUUCACAACAUCUUCCGGUAUCUUGCCAAGCUCAUUUAAGGUCGAAGCAUUUUCGGCCAGACUUAUAGCCAGCUCCUACAACUGUCCUUUUAGACAACGCAGGGCAAAUGAGCGGAUCACCCGUGUCUAUAGUUGACACUUGUUCCAGUCAAUUUGCUCCUCCGAAGGGGAAUCGAAGAAGAAUGCACAGAUUUCCAAGGCCACACAGUUGCACACGGGAUGCUGUAUGUACCGGGACCUGCAGUUUGCACAAUGUGCGUUUGCUAUCACUCCGAGC